rnacentral:lncRNA from 1 species
AUUCAUAAGAACCAAAACCGGAACAACAUUAGACUACUCAGUUGCGCCCUAACAGUAUAACUUUAUAAUGAGUAUUUUUUCUCAUUCUAUCGAACAAAGAGUAAACCUAAUUAUAUUGUUCUAUUAUGCCCCGAGAGAGUAAAUUUGGAACGAAUCGAUGUCAACGUUCACAAGAACCAAAACCGGAACAACAUUAGACUACUCAAUUGCACCCUAAGAGUAUAACUUUGCAAUAAGUACUUUUUCUCAUUCUAUCGAACAAAGAGUUUAAAGCUAAUUAUAUUGUUCUAUUAUGCCCCAAGAGCUGUAAUUUCGAGCUAAUCGAUGCCAACGUUCACAAGAACCAAAACCGGAACAACAUUAGGCUACUCAGUUGCGCCAUAACAGUAUAACUUUGUAAUGAGUACUUUUUCUUAUUCUAUCGAACAAAGAGUAAAACCUAAUUAUAUUGUUCUAAUAUGUCCCGAGAGUGUAAAUUUGGAACGAAUCGAUGUCAACCUUCACAAGAACCAAAAUCCGAACAACAUUAGACUACUCAGUUGCGCCCUAACAGUAUAACUUUGCAAAGAGUACUUUUUCUGAUUCAAUCGAACAAAGUGUAAAAACUAAUUUUUUUAUUCUAUUAUGCCCCAAGAGUGUAAAUUUGGAAAGAAUCGCUGUCAACGCUCACAAGAACCAAAACCCGAACAACAUUAGACAACUCAGUUGCGCCCUAACAUUAUAAAUUUGCAACGAGUGUUUUUUAUCAUUCUAUCGAACAAAGAGUAAAACGUAAUUAUAUUGUUCUAUUAUGUCCUUAGAGUGUAAAUUUGGAACGAAUCGAUGUCAACCUUCACAAGAACCAAAACCGGAACAACAUUAGAUUACUCAAUUACGCCCUAACAGUAUAACGUUGCAACGGGUACUUUUUCUCAUUCUAUCAAACAAAGAGUAAAAGCUAAUUAUAUUGUUCAAUUAUGCCCCGAGAGUUGUAAUUUCGAACGAAUAGAUGUCAACGUUCACAAGAACCAAAACCGGAACAACAUUAGGCAACUAAGUUGCGCCCUAACAGUAUAACUUUGUAAUGAAAACUUUUUCUCAUUCUAUCGAACAAAUAGAAAAACCUAAUUAUAUUGUGCUAUUAUGCCCCGAGAGAGUAAAUUUGGAACGAAUCGAUGUCAAUGUUCACAAGAACCAAAAUCGGAACAACAUUAGACUACUCGGUCGCGCCUUAAUAGUAUAACUUUGCACCGAGUAAUUUUUCUCAUUCUAUCGAACAAAGAGUAAAAGAUAAUUAUAUUGUUCAAUUAUGCCCCGAGAGUUGUAAUUUCGAACAAAUCGAUGUCAACGUUCACGAGAACCAAAACCGGAACAACAUUAGACUACUCAGUUGCGCCCUAACAGUAUAAUUUUGCAAGCAGUACUUUUUCUCAUUCUAUCGAAAAAAGAGUAAAACGUAAUUAUAUUGUUCUACUAUACCUCGAGAGAGUAAAUUUGGAACAAAUCGAUGUCAACGUUCACAAGAACCAAAACCGGAACAACAUUAGAAUACUCAGUUGCGCCCUAACAGUAUAACGUUGCUACGAGUACUUUUUCUCAUUCUAUCGAACAAAGUGUAAAAGCUAAUUAUAUUAUUCAAUUAUGCCCCGAGAGUUGUAAUUUCGAACGAAUCGUUGCCAACAUUUACAAGAACCAAAACCGGAAUAACAUUAGGCUACUCAGUUGCACCCUAAUAGUAUAACUUUGUAAUGAGUCAUUUUUUUCAUUCUAUCGAACCAAGAGUAAAACCUAAUUAUAUUGUUCUAUUUUGUCCCGAGAGUGUAAAUUUGGAACGAGUCGAUGUCAACCUUCGCAAGAACCAAAACCGGAACAACAUUAUACUACUCAGUUGCGUCGUAACAGUAUAACUUUGCGAGGUGUACUUUUUCUCAUUCAAUCGAACAAAGUGUAAAAGCAAUUAUUUUAUUCUAUUAUGUCCCGAGAGUGUAAAUUUGGAACGAAUCGAUGUCAACGCUAACAAGAACCAAAAUCGGAACAACAUUAGACUAUUCAGUUGUGCCCUAACAGUAUAACUUUGUAACGAGUACUUUUUCUCAUUCUAUCGAACAAAGAGUAAAAGCUAAUUAUGUUGUUCAAUUAUUCCACGAGAGUUGUAAUUACGAACGAAUUGAUGUCAACGUUUACAAGAACCAAAACCGGAACAACAUUAGGCUGCUCAGUUUCGCCCAAACAGUAUAACUUUGCAAUAAGUACUUUUUCUCAUCCUAUCGAACAAAGAGUAAAACCUAAUUAUAUUGUUCUAUUAUGCCCUGAGAGCGUAAAUUUGGAACGAAUCGAUGUCAAUGCUCACAAGAACCAAAACCGGAACAACAUUAGACAAUUCAGUUGCGCCGGAACAGUAUAACUUUGCAACGAAUACUUUUUCUCAUUCUAUCGAACAAAGAGUUAAAAUCUAAUUAUAUUGUUCUAUUCCGCCCCGAGAGUUGUAAUUUCGAGCGAAUCGAGGUCAACGUUCACAAGAACCAAAACCGGAACAACAUUAGACUACUCAGUUGCGCCAUAACAGUAUAACUUUGUAAUGAGUACUUUUUCUAAUUCUAUCGAAGAAAGAGUAAAACCUAAUUAUAUUGUUCUAUUAUGUCCCGAGAGUGUAAAUUUGGAACGAAUCGAUGUCAACCAUCACAAGUACCAAAACCGGAACAAUAUUAAACUACACAGUUGCGCCGUAACAGUAUAACUUUGCAAGGUGUACUUUUUCUCAUUCAAUCGAACAAACUAUAAAAGCUAAUUAUUUUAUUCUAUUAUGCCCCGAGAGUGUAAAUUUGGAACGAAUCGAUGUCAACGCUCACAAGAACCAAAACCGGAACAAUAUAAGACUACUCAGUUGCUGGUUUGCACCUCUUUUUGCCACUACUUCGCGCCGAACGAUGUCAAAACUAUUCCAACACCUUUGGAACUUAUUUUUGCUCUGCCAAACUUGUUGGAAUGCCGAUUGGAACUUGUCCAAACCAUUCGAUUGCUCACUUUGGUCUAUUUGGCCAAAGUUAGCCAAAUUCCAUCGAGUUCAAUAUCUCACAGGAACAACAUUAGACUACUCAGUUGCGCCCUAACAGUAUAACGUUGCAACGAAAACUUUUUCUCAUUCUAUCGAACAAAGAGUAAAACCUAAUUAUAUUGUUCAAUUAUGCCCCGAGAGUUGUAAUUUCGAACGAAUCAAUGUCAACGUUCAUAAAAACCAAAACCGGAAAAACAUUAGUCCACACAGUUGCGCCCUAACAAUAUAACUUUGUAAUGAGUACUUUUUCUCAUUCUAUCGAACAGAGAGUAAAACCUAAUUAUAUUGUUCUAUUAUGUCCCGAGAGUGUAAAUUUGGAACGAAUCGAUGUCAACCUUCACAAGAACCAAAAUCGGAACAAUAUUAGACUACUCAGUUGCGCCAUAACAGUAUAACUUUGCAAUAAGUACUUUUUCUCAUUCUAUUGAACAAAGAGUAAAACCUAAUUAUAUUGUAUUAUUAUGCCCCGAGAGAGUAAAUUUGGAACGAAUCGAUGUCAACGUUCACAAAAACCAAAACCGGAACAAUAUUAGAUUACUCAGUUGCGCCUUAAUAGUAUAACUUUGCACCGAGUACUUUUUCUCAUUUUAUCGAACAAAGAGUAAAAGCUAAUUAUAUUGUUCUAUUAUGCCCCGAGAGUUGUAAUUUCUAACGAAUCGAUGUCAACGUUCACAAUAACCACACCGGAACAACAUUAGACUAUUCAGUUGCGCCCUAACAGUAUAACUUUGCAAGGAGUAUUUUUUCUCAUUCUAUCGAACAAAGAGUAUAACCUAAUUAUAUUGUUGUACUAUGCCCCGAGAGAGUAAAUUUGGAACGAAUCGAUGUCAACGUUCACAAGAACCAAAACCGGAACAACAUUAGGCUACUCAGUUGCGCCCUAACUGUAUAACUUUGUAAUAAGUACUUUUUCUCAUUCGAUCGAACAAAGAGUAAAACCUAAUUAUAUUGUUCUAUUAUGUCCCGAUAGUGUAAAUUUGAAACGAAUCGAUGUCAACCCUCACAAGAACCAAAAUCGGAAAAAUAUUAGACUACUCAGUUGCGCCGUAACAGUAUAACUUUGCAAUGAGUACUUUUUCUCAUUCAAUCGAAUAAAAUGUAAAAGCUAAUUAUUUUAUUCUAUUAUGGCCCGAGAGUGUAAAUUUGGAACGAAUCGAUGUCAACACUCACAAGAAUCAAUACCGCAACAACAUUAGACUACUUUGUUCCGCCCUAGCAGUAUAACUUUGCAACGAGUACUUUUUCUCAUUCUAUCGAACAAAGAUUAAAACAUAAUUAUAUUGUUCUAUUAUGUCGCGAGAGUGUAAAUUUGGAACGAAUCGAUGUAAACGUUCACAUGAACCAAAACCGGAACAACAUUAUCCUGCUCAGUUGCGCCCUAACAGUAUAACUUUGCAAUGAGUACUUUUUCUCAUUCUAUCGAACAAAGAGUAAAACCUAAUUAUAUUGUUCUAUUAUGCCCCGAGAGCAUAAAUUUGGAACGAAUCGAUGUCAACGUUCACAAAAAACCAAAACUGGAACAAUAUUAGACUACUCAGUUGCGCCAUAACAAUAUAACUUUGCAACGAGUACUUUAUCUCUUUUUAUCGAACAAAGAGUUAAAAUCUAAUUAUAUUGUUCUAUUAUGCCCCGAGAUUUGUAAUUUCGAGCGAAUCGAUGUCAACGGUCACAUGAACGAAAACCGGAACAACAUUAGACUACUCAGUUGCGCCCUAACAGUAUAACUUUGCAAUGAGUACUUUUUCUUAUUCUAUCGAAUAAAGAGUAAAACCUAAUUAUAUAGUUCUAUUAUUUCCCGAGAGAGUAAAUUUGGAAGGAAUCGUUGUCAACCUUCACAAGAACCAAAACCGGAACAACAUUAGACUACUCAGUUGCGCCCUAGCAGUAUAACUUUCUAAUGAGUACUUUUUCUCAUUCAAUCGAACAAAGUGUAAAAGCUAAUUAUUUUAUUCUAUUAUGCCCCGAGAGUGUAAAUUUGGAACGAAUCGAUGUCAACCUUCACAAGAACCAAGACCGAAACAAUAUUAGACUACUCAGUUGCGCCCUAACAGUAUAACUUUGUAGGGAGUACUUUUUCUCAUUCAAUCGAACAAAGUGUAAAAGCUAAUUAUAUUGUUCAAUUAUGCCCUGAGAGUUUUAAUUUCGAACGAAUCGAUGUCAACGUUCACAAUAACCAAAAUCGGAACAACAUUAGGCUACUUAGUUGCGCCCUAACAGUAUAACUUUGCAACGAGUACUUUUUCUCAUUCUAUCGAACAAGGAGUAAAAGCUAAUUAUAUUAUUCAAUUAUGCCCCGAGAGUUGUAAUUUCGAACGAAACAAUGUCAACGUUCACAAGAACCAAAGCCGGAACAACAUUAGGCUGCUCAGUUGCACCCUAACAGCAUAACUUUGUAAUGAGUACCUUUUCUCAUUCUAUCGAACAAAGAGUAAAACGAAAUUAUGUUAUUCUAUUAUGUCCAGAGAGUGUAAAUUUGGAAAACGAAUCAGUGUCAACCUUCACAAGACCAAAACCGGAACAAUAUUAGACUACUCAGUUGUGCCCUUACAGUAUAACUUUGCAAGGUGUACUGUUUCACAUUCAAUCGAAUAAAGUGUAAAAGCUAAUUAUUUUAUUCUAUUAUGGCCCGAGAGUGUAAAUUUGGAACGAAUCGAUGUCAACGCUCACAAGAACCAAAACAGGAAAAAUAUUAGACUACUCAGUUGCGCGCUGACAGUAUAAAUUUGCAACGAGUGAUUUUUCUCAUUCAAUCGAACAAAGAGUAAAGUCUAAUUAUAUUGUUCUAUUAUGUCCCAAGAGUGUAAAUUUGGAACGAAUCGAUGUCAACCUUCACAAGAACCAAUAUCGGAACAAUAUUAGACUACUCAGUUGCGCUCUAACAGUAUAACUUUGCAAGGAGUACUUUUUCUCAUUCAAUCGAACAAAGUGUAAAAACUAAUUAUUUAUUCUAUUAUGCCCCGAGAGUGUAAAUUUGGAACGAAUCGAUGUCAACGCUCACAAGAACCAAAACCGGAACAACAUUAGAUUACUCAAUUGCGCCCUAAAAGUAUAACUUUGUAAAGAGUACUUUUUCUCAUUCUAUCGAACAAAGAGUAAAACCUAAUUAUGUUAUUCUAUUAUGUCCCGAGAGUGUAAAUUUGGAACGAAUCGAUGUCAACGUUCACAAGAACCAAAGCAGGAACAACAUCAGACUACUCAGUUGCGCCCUAAUUGUAUAACUUUGCCCCGAGUACUCAUUCUAUCGAACAAAGAAUAAAAGCAAAUUAUAUUGUUCUAUUAUGCCACGAGAGUUGUAAUGUCGAACGAAUCGAUGUCAACGUUCACAAGAACCAAAACCCGAACAAUAUUAGGCUGCUCAGUUGCGCCCUAACAGUAUAACUUUGCAAUAAGUACUUUUUCUCAUUCUAUCGAACAAAGAGUAAAACCUAAUUAUAUUGUUCUAUUAUGCCCCGAGAGCAUAAAUUUGGAACGAAUCGAUGUUAACGUUCACAUGAACCAAAACCGGAACAACAUUAGACUACUCAGUUGCGUCCUAACAGUAUAACGUUGCAACGAGUACUUUUUCUCAUUCUAUCGAACAAAGAUUAAAGCUAAUUGUAUUGUUCAAUUAUGCCCCGAGAGUCGUAAUUUCGAACGAAUUGAUGUCAACGUUCACAAGAACCAAAACGGGGGCAACAUUAGGCUGCUCAGUUGCGCCCUAGCAGUAUAACUUAGCAAUGAGUACUUUUUCUCAUUCUUUCGAACAAAGAGUAAAACCUAAUUAUAUUGUUCUAUUAUGCCCCGAGAGCGUAAAUUUGGAACGAAUCGAUGUCAACGUUCACAAGAACCAAAGCAAGAACAACAUUAGACUACUCAGUUGCGCCCUAACAGUAUAACUUUGGAACGAGUACUUUUUCUUAUUCUAUCGAGCAAAGACUCCAAAUCAAAUUAUAUUGUUCUAUUAUGCUCCGAGAGUUGUAAUUUCGAGCCAAUCGAUGUAAACGUUCACAAGAACCAAAACCGGAACAACAUUAGGCUACUUAGUUGCGCCCUAACAGUAUAACUUUGUAAUGAGUACUUUUUCUCAUUCUAUCGAACAAAGAGUAAAACCAAAUUAUGUUGUUCUAUUAUGUCCCGAGAGUGUAUGUUUGAAAAACGACUCGAUGUCAACCUUCACAAGAACCAAAACCGGAACAGUAUUAGACUACUCAGUCCCGCCCUAACAGUAUAACUUUGCAAGGAGUACUUUUUCUCAUUCAAUCGAACAAAGUGUAAAAGCUAAUUAUUUUAUUCUAUUAUGCCCCGAGAGUGUAAAUUUGGAACGAAUCGAUGUCAACGCUCACAAGCACCAAAACCGGAACAACAUUAGACUACUCAGUUGCGCCCUGACAGUAUUACUUUGCAACGAGUACUUUUUCUCAUUCUAUCGAACAAAGAGUAAAACCUAAUUAUAUUGUUCUAUUAUGUCCCNNN